rnacentral:rRNA from 1 species
UACGUUCCCGGGCCUUGUACACACCGCCCGUCAAGUCACGAAAGUCGGUAACACCCGAAGCCGGUGGCCCAACCCUUGUGGAGGGAGCCGUCGAAGGUGGGAUUGGCGAUUGGGACU